GUGUGUGUCAUGUAGCCUGUCUAGCAGCUGUUUAAUUGUCACCCUUAACCUUUUUUGUAGGUGUCAGAUUGCUG